rnacentral:rRNA from 1 species
GACGAACGCUGGCGGCGUGCUUAACACAUGCAAGUCGAACGGAAACGCCCUGCUUUUGUGGGGUGCUCGAGUGGCGAACGCGUGAGUAACACGUAUGUAACCUGCCCUUGUCUUUGGGGUAACUUCAGGAAGCUGGGGCUAAUCCCGGAUCGGAGCUCCUCCUGCAGUGUGGGGGUUGGAAAGUCUCGGCGGGUGGGGAUGGACUCGCGGCUUAUCAGCUUGUUGGUGGGGUAGUGGCGUACCAAGGCUUUGACGGGUAGCCGGCCUGAGAGGGUGACCGGCCACAGUGGGACUGAGAUAGGGCCCAGACGCCUACGGGAGGCAGCAGCGGAGAAUAGUGCACAAUGGGCGGAAGCCGGAUGGAGCAACGUCGCGUGGGGGAGGACGGCCUUCGGGUUGGAAACCGCUUUCGCCUGUGACGAGGCGUGAGUGACGGUAAUGGGUAAAGAAGAACCGGCUAACUACGUG